UGAAAAUGAUCAGCAGCAUCCAAAAAACAAAAAGCCAUUUCACAGAUACUCUCUCACUUUUACAGAGAAACACGAAUUCCUGCUCGAAUUCCUGAAGCUGUCAAACAAGAACAGCCACCUGCAUUCCUGAUCGAAUUACCUUAGGAUGCUCUUAAAUGCAAGAUAUGGAAAAACGCAAUUAAGGAGAUGCGACCGACACCUGAAACUGACGCUGUCAGAUCAAGAAAACACCAUGAGUUUCGUGUCCAAGUAUUCCUGUGAGGCUCUACGGACAUAUACUCCCACUGGCUGGCUGGCUUAGAACAUGCUGUUAAAGCUUCCUCCCACUUUCAUGCAGCAUCCGUAAAGAGACGGUGAUGAUUUAUUCUCCUGAGCUCCCCGUUCUCUGUUACUGCCGCCAGUUCUGCUACAGGCUUUUGGUUUCAAAUCCGAGAGCGAUGAUGACUAUCUUGAAUUCCUUCCUGAUGAUGUGUGUCCCAUCGUAAAUGGAAGAUAGGAGCCAUAAUUAGCCUGCAUGUUGUUUACUCGAAUCGCAUCAAGUCGUGCAUCUACGCAAUAUCUUGAAGUGUAAAAGCUUUAAAUUAAUGGAGGAGACACAUGAAACUCUACUUCCUACUACAAAGAACAUGCAGAUUAAUGGUGUAAUUGAGAUGAAAACCUGAAGAACUGUGUGGUGUUCUUAGGCAUAUGUCUCUUCCCAGAUGUGGAGUUAACACUGACAAUGGUGGCCUCACCCCAUCACACGAGGAAGGUAAAG
rnacentral:lncRNA from 1 species